rnacentral:rRNA from 1 species
UACGGAGGGUGCAAGCGUUGCUCGGAAUUAUUGGGCGUAAAGCGCGCGCAGGCGGUCCUUUAAGUCUGAUGUGAAAGCCCACGGCUCAACCGUGGAGGGUCAUUGGAAACUGGGGGACUUGAGUGCAGGAGAGAAGAGUGGAAUUCCACGUGUAGCGGUGAAAUGCGUAGAGAUGUGGAGGAACACCAGUGGCGAAGGCGGCAUCCUGGACCGGUAUUGACGCUGAGGAGCGAAAGCCAGGGGAGCAAACGGG